rnacentral:rRNA from 1 species
UACGAAGGGGGCUAGCGUUGCUCGGAAUCACUGGGCGUAAAGCGCACGUAGGCGGCUUUCUAAGUCAGGGGUGAAAUCCCAAGGCUCAACCUUGGAACUGCCUUUGAUACUGGGGAUCUCGAGUCCGGAAGAGGUGAGUGGAACUGCGAGUGUAGAGGUGAAAUUCGUAGAUAUUCGCAAGAACACCAGUGGCGAAGGCGGCUCACUGGUCCGGUACUGACGCUGAGGUGCGAAAGCGUGGGGAGCAAACAGG